rnacentral:rRNA from 1 species
UUUAAUUAUAAUAAAUAAAAUUUAUGAAAAAAAAUUUAAAGGACGCGGUAACCUUGACCGUGAUAAUGUAGCAUAAUCAUUCGCCAUUUAAUUGAUGGAUAGUAUGAAUGGUUGAACGAAUAUUUCACUGUCUUAAAAAGAAAUAACAAAAAACUAGGAUAAUAGUAAAGACACUAUUUCAGAUUGUAAGACGAAAAGACCCUAUAGAGCUUAACUAUAAUCUCUUUACAUAGAAAGAAUAUAAUUCCUAAAUAAAGAGACUGGUAGUUUAGUUGGGGCGACUAUCUUUUAAAAAAAACAAAGAUAAGCAAAGUAAAUAAUAAACUUAUUGUAUAAAGUAUGGAUUUAACAAUUAUAAAAAUAGGCUAUAAUGACCCGUUGUUAUUUAAUAAAAAAUACAACGAUCAAUAAAUAAAAGCUACCUUAGGGAUAACAGGAUAAUUUUAUUCUAGAGAUCUUAUCGAAAAUAAAGUUUGUCACCUCUAUGUUGAAUUAAGAUAUCCUGGUAAUGCAGCA